rnacentral:rRNA from 1 species
UACCUUCGGGAUUAGUGGCGGACGGGUGAGUAACACGUGGAACGUACCCUUUGGUUCGGAACAACUCAGGGAAACUUGAGCUAAUACCGAAUGUGCCCUUCGGGGGAAAGAUUUAUCGCCAUUGGAGCGGCCCGCGUCUGAUUAGCUAGUUGGUGGGGUAAUGGCCCACCAAGGCGACGAUCAGUAGCUGGUCUGAGAGGAUGAUCAGCCACACUGGGACUGAGACACGGCCCAG